CCUACGGGGGGCAGCAGUAGGGAAUCUUCCACAAUGGGCGAAAGCCUGAUGGAGCAACGCCGCGUGGGUGAAGAAGGUCUUCGGAUCGUAAAACCCUGUUGUUAGAGAAGAAAGUGCGUGAGAGUAACUGUUCACGUUUCGACGGUAUCUAACCAGACAGCCACGGCUAACUACGUGCCAGCAGCCGCGGUAAUACGUAGGUGGCAAGCGUUAUCCGGAUUUAUUGGGCGUAAAGGGAACGCAGGCGGUCUUUUAAGUCCGAUGUGAAAGCCUUCGGCUUAACCGGAGUAGUGCAUUGGAAACUGGGAGACUGGAGUGCAGAAGAGGAGAGUGGAACUCCAUGUGUAGCGGUGAAAUGCGUAGAUAUAUGGAAGAACACCAGUGGCGAAAGCGGCUCUCUGGUCUGUAACUGACGCUGAGGUUCGAAAGCGUGGGUAGCAAACAGGAUUAGAUACCCUUGUAGUC
rnacentral:rRNA from 1 species